GCCCUGAUAGCUCAGUCCGGUUAGAGCACCUGUUUAGUAAUCAGGACGUCGGCGGUUCGAAUCCGUCUCGGGGCUCCA
rnacentral:tRNA from 2 species